rnacentral:tRNA from 1 species
GCCCCCGUCGUCUAGUGGCCUAGGACGCCACCCUUUCAAGGUGGAGAUCGCGGGUUCGAAUCCCGCCGGGGGCACCA